rnacentral:rRNA from 1 species
GCGGCCGCUCUGUUUGUUUCUGGCGGAGGUUACUGCUAUCGAGGUCCGACUAAGCCAUGCGAGUCGAAUGUAGCAAUACAUGGCGUACUGCUCAGUAACACGUGGACAACCUACCCUCAGCACGGGGAUAAACCCGGGAAACUGGGUAUAAUACCCGAUAGUUCUGGGAAGCUGGAAUGCUUCCAGGACGAAAGCUCCGGCGACUGAGGAUGGGUCUGCGGCCUAUCAGGUAGUAGUGGGUGUAACGUACCUACUAGCCUACGACGGGUACGGGUUGUGAGAGCAAGAGCCCGGAGAUGGAUUCUGAGACACGAAUCCAGGCCCUACGGGGUGCAGCAGGCGCGAAAACUUUACAAUGCUGGCAACAGCGAUAAGGGAACCUCGAGUGCCAGGUUACAAAUCUGGCUGUCGUGAUGCCUAAAAAGCAUUGCAUAGCAAGGGCCGGGCAAGACCGGUGCCAGCCGCCGCGGUAACACCGGCGGCUCGAGUGGUAACCGUUAUUACUGGGUCUAAAGGGUCUGUAGCCGGCCGGAUGAGUCUCUUGGGAAAUCUGGCUGCUUUGCAGUCAGCUUUCAGGAGAUACUGUCUGGCUCGAGGCCGGGAGAGGUGGGAGGUACUUCAGGGGUAAGGGUGAAAUCUUGUAAUCCUUGAAGGACCACCAGUGGCGAAGGCGUCUCACCAGAACGGACCUGACGGCAAGGGACGAAAGCUAGGGGCACGAACCGGAUUAGAUACCCGGGUAGUCCUAGCCGUAAACGAUACUCGCUAGGAGUCGGCCACGGUGCGACCGUGGUCGGUGCCGUAGGGAAGCCGUGAAGCGAGCCACCUGGGAAGUACGGCCGCAAGGCUGAAACUUAAAGGAAUUGGCGGGGGAGCACCACAACGGGUGGAGCUUGCGGUUUAAUUGGAUUCAACGCCGGAAAUCUUACCGGGACCGACAACGAUAUGAAGGCCAGGCUGAAGACCUUGCCGGAUUAGCUGAGAGGUGGUGCAUGGCCGUCGUCAGUUCGUACUGCGAAGCAUCCUGUUAAGUCAGGCAACGAGCGAGACCC